rnacentral:pre_miRNA from 1 species
UUAGCCAAGAAUGGCUUGCCUAUCUCUACUAUUUGGUUCAUCAGGGAGUCCUUAGCUCAUGAUGGAUGAAAUGUGGAUGAUGGCAGGCCAUUCUGGCUAAGU